UACGGGAGUGGCAAGCGUUAUCCGGAAUUAUUGGGCGUAAAGCGUCCGCAGGCGGUCUGUCAAGUCUGCUGUUAAAGCGUGGAGCUUAACUCCAUUAAGGCAGUGGAAACUGACAGACUAGAGUGUGGUAGGGGCAGAGGGAAUUCCCGGUGUAGCGGUGAAAUGCGUAGAUAUCGGGAAAAACACCAGUGGCGAAGGCGCUCUGCUGGGCCAUAACUGACGCUCAUGGACGAAAGCCAGGGGAGCGAAAGGGAUUAGAUACCCCUGUAGUCCUGGCCGUAAACGAUGAACACUAGGUGUCGGGGGAAUCGACCCCCUCGGUGUCGUAGCCAACGCGUUAAGUGUUCCGCCUGGGGAGUACGCACGCAAGUGUGAAACUCAAAGGAAUUGACGGGGGCCCGCACAAGCGGUGGAGUAUGUGGUUUAAUUCGAUGCAACGCGAAGAACCUUACCAGGGCUUGACAUCCUGCGAAUCUUUUGGAAACGAGAGAGUGCCUUCGGGAACGCAGUGACAGGUGGUGCAUGGCUGUCGUCAGCUCGUGUCGUGAGAUGUUGGGUUAAGUCCCGCAACGAGCGCAACCCACGUCGUUAGUUGCCAGCAUUUAGUUGGGCACUCUAGCGAGACCGCCGGUGAUAAACCGGAGGAAGGUGCGGAUGACGUCAAGUCAUCAUGCCCCUUACAUCCUGGGCUACACACGUACUACAAUGCUACGGACAAAGGGCAGCAAACUCGCGAGAGGUAGCCAAUCCCAUAAACCGUGUCUCAGUUCAGAUCGUAGUCUGCAACUCGCCUACGUGAAGGAGGAAUCGCUAGUAAUCGCAGGUCAGCAUACCGCGGUGAAUACGUUCCCGGGCCU
rnacentral:rRNA from 1 species